UACGUAGGGCGCAAGCGUUAUCCGGAAUUACUGGGCGUAAAGUGUGCGCAGGCGGCCUCGCAAGUCGAGUGUGAAAGCCCCGGGCUUAACUUGGGAAUUGCGCUCGAAACUACGUGGCUGGAGUGUGGCAGAGGAAGGUGGAAUUCCAGGUGUAGCGGUGAAAUGCGUAGAGAUCUGGAGGAACACCGAUGGCGAAGGCAGCCUUCUGGGCCAACACUGACGCUCAUGCACGAAAGCGUGGGGAGCAAACAGG
rnacentral:rRNA from 1 species